rnacentral:lncRNA from 1 species
AUCCCACUAGAAUUCUCAUAAACCACAAUAUCCCAAAACUACUCAAAACAACAAAAUUAAAUAAAUAUUCAUUAUAGUCCAAAAUAAAAUUUCACAAUUAACACUUAAUCAAAAUAAAGCUUCAUAACAAAUCCAUGAGUCAUAAUUACUAAAACAAAUCCCAAAAUCCAAACAAAAAACACAAUAACAGAAAAUGUCACGCUCCACUAGGCCGCUCUAGGAGCAUCCUGAAGUCCUCCCUGCCCCACCUGUGGAUCCUCAAGAGAGAUAUCUGCAUCUAAAAAUGUGUAACAAGGAAGGGGUGAGCAUUUUCACAUUGCUCAAUAGGGUGCCUAACACCCAAGGGGUUAAGGGGAUUACUAAGUUUCAAAGAAUACGAAAAGAACACUUCAACACCACAGGAACAAUUCAAAAAUAUCAAUCAAACCACAUAGUUUAAUAUAUAAUUUUAUAUACAAUUUCACAAUAUUCAACAAUUACAGGAAUGCACAUGAACGUGUGACACACAGUCAUACAAUGCACUAUUGUUCUCAGGCUUUCACCGAAGGAUACGCGUCCGCACCCAAAUACACUCCCCAUUCGGAGUCUUCCCGGGGUAACUUUUGGGUCUUUCACCCUAGGGAUCUCUCUCCCUUCUUAAUUCGCCCCACACGACUUUCACUUCUCAUCACUAUUUUUUUUUUUUCCAUUUCAUACACUUUUCACAAUCUUCAUAAUUUUAUUUAUUUUCCACAUAACCAUGAUGCAAAUGAAUGCCACAAUUCCAAGGUUCCUCAAUAAUUCAACAAUUUCAACAUUCCCCAAUAAUCCAAUAAAAUAAUUUCACACAUUAAAAUUUCUGAUAAUAUCCCAAAUAAAUAUUCAAAAAUUUGCAUAUCAAAAAUCUUGAAAUUUUACCAUACUUACGGAAUUUUUUAACCAUUAUAAUAAUUUCUAAUAUUUGAAAUUAACUAACUUUCUAUCAUAAAAAUUCCAAAAAUUUUCUAACUAAUGCCUAAAAAUUCACCAAUCACUAUUUUUGAAAUUUAGCCCUAAUUUUGGAAUUUUUCAACCCUUCCAAUAAUUUUUUUACAAUUCAAAACAAUUAAUUAUCAAUCAAAAUCAAUUUCCCGCAAUUACAAAAAUUCCAAACAAAUUCCAAAUAUUCUAGAAAAAUUCAUACAAUCCCCAUAAUUCCUAAUUAACUCAUAAUGACAAUAUUUACAAUUUUUUUUCAAGGGAAAAACAUAAAAAUUUAAGUUUUAGGGUUAGGGUCCCCUACCAUAGAUCUAAGAAUUCAGCCGCUAAAAAUAUGAUUGGCCAUCGUAGGAUUGUUCCUCUCGUCGAGUAGAACACCCCCUCCAAAUCUGAGUUGAAACGGAGGUCGUUUGACCACCCAAACGACCCGUCAAAGCUCCGGCGAGGUGAGAUUUUCUAUAGUGCCGCCGCCCCUUUUCUCCCAGAUCUGCUACUGUUCCCUUCUUUUCCACUUAAGCCCAUUUCUUUUCAUUUUAAUCCACUUACCAAACAGCCCACUCAAGCCCAUUU